UACGAAGGGGGCUAGCGUUGCUCGGAUUUACUGGGCGUAAAGCGCACGUAGGCGGCUCGAUCAGUCAGGGGUGAAAUCCCAGAGCUCAACUCUGGAACUGCCUUUGAUACUGUCGAUCUGGAGUAUGGAAGAGGUGAGUGGAAUUCCGAGUGUAGAGGUGAAAUUCGUAGAUAUUCGGAGGAACACCAGUGGCGAAGGCGGCUCACUGGUCCAUUACUGACGCUGAGGUGCGAAAGCGUGGGGAGCAAACAGG
rnacentral:rRNA from 1 species